rnacentral:rRNA from 1 species
GACGAACGCUGGCGGCGUGCUUAACACAUGCAAGUCGAACGGAAAGGCCCUGCUUUUGUGGGGUGCUCGAGUGGCGAACGGGUGAGUAACACGUGAGUAACCUGCCCUUGACUUUGGGAUAACUUCAGGAAACUGGGGCUAAUACCGGAUAGGAGCUCCUGCUGCAUGGUGGGGGUUGGAAAGUUUCGGCGGUUGGGGAUGGACUCGCGGCUUAUCAGCUUGUUGGUGGGGUAGUGGCUUACCAAGGCUUUGACGGGUAGCCGGCCUGAGAGGGUGACCGGCCACAUUGGGACUGAGAUACGGCCCAGACUCCUACGGGAGGCAGCAGUGGGGAAUAUUGCACAAUGGGCGGAAGCCUGAUGCAGCAACGCCGCGUGCGGGAUGACGGCCUUCGGGUUGUAAACCGCAUUAGCCUGUGACGAAGCGUGAGUGACGGUAAUGGGUAAAGAAGCACCGGCUAACUACGUG